AGUGAACGCUGGCGGCGUGCCUAAUACAUGCAAGUCGAACGGAAUUUAAAAGAGCUUGCUCUUUUAAAUUUAGUGGCGCACGGGUGAGUAAUAUAUAGCUAAUCUGCCCCUUGCUGGAGGACAACAGUUAGAAAUGACUGCUAAUACUCCAUACUCCUUUUUACCAUAAGAUAAAUCGGGAAAGAAUUUCGGCAAGGGAUGAGACUAUAUCGUAUCAGCUAGUCGGUGGGGUAACGGCCUACCGAGGCUAUGACGCGUAACUGGUCUGAGAGGAUGAUCAGUCACAUUGGAACUGAGACACGGUCCAAACUCCUACGGGAGGCAGCAGUAGGGAAUAUUGCGCAAUGGGGGAAACCCUGACGCAGCAACGCCGCGUGGAGGAUGACACUUUUCGGAGCGUAAACUCCUUUUGUUAGGGAAGAAUAAUGACGGACCUAACGAUAAGCACCGCA
rnacentral:rRNA from 1 species